CUCAGCGCGGCGGCGCGAGAGGGAGCGCACUCGUUCUGCACCGCCAAGACAGGACAGCCUUCGGAGAAUGGCGCCUGCCUGCCCACGGCACUCUUAACCGUGCUUGACCGGCCUCCAGCCAAGCCCGUUAGCAGACACCUGUCGCCACCGCUCCCCGGCCGCUGAGUGCCCGAGCACCCCGUUCACACGCAGCUCCAGGAGCACCUUCCACGGCAGGGUGAAUCGCGGGGCCGAACCAGCCACCCUUAUGAAACAGGGACCUAACGGGAAGCUGCGGCGUCAGGCCCCGAAUUUGCAUUUCUGUGUGGCUAAUGUGGGACCCCAACUGCACGUGGGGUCCAGAUUCAGGGGUCGAUUUUGAGGACCUGGUGGUCAAUUUAAUGUUAAGUUUGUUAGGCUGAGGAAAACUGGUAGUGCCCAGGGCCGCGGGGUGGAGUGGAGGGGGCCACUGAGGGCCACGGGCUUGGGGAGGGGGUUAAAGUCGCAUGGUAUGUGAGUUACAUCUUUUUGGACUUUACUUUGUUAACUUCUGACUCAUUUAAAACUCCACAUUUUAAAAAUUGCUGCUGAAUUAUGUCUUAAAAACUUUUACCCGGGUAGUCUGCCCGGCCAGACUGGUUUAGCUCAGCUUCUUCAGCCUUCAUUCUUUAACUCAUUCUUUUGUUCUGCUAAAUGCUAACAGUGCCUCAGAAAGCUUCCAGUGAGGAAAGGUGGUUUCCGGGAAAGAAUGUGGUGAGGAGGGAAAGGCAGGGGGAGCUGGCCGCCCCCCUCCAGUGCUUUGAUCAGGAUGAAUGACCUUGGUUGUGAAGUAAAGGAACUUGGCGCUGCCCUCCACUGCAUCCUGGCCCUGGGCCACGGAGGAGUAAGCAAUAAAAUGUCCAAAACCUCUCUGUUGAGUCCUCUAAGUUCUUCCUUUGGGUUCUGUAAACAGAACCUUCCUUUGGGGCCUUUGCAGUCCUGGGGCUAAACUGUCAUUUUAAGUAAGAGAUUAAGGAGAGGCUGGGGAUACAGCUCAGUUGGUAGAGUGCUUGCCUUGCAUGCACAAGGCCCUGGGUUCAAUUCCCAGAACCACCAAAAAAAAGGGCUGGGGAUGUGGCUCAAGCGGUAGAGCGCUGGCCUAGCACAUAUGAGGCCCUGGGUUUGAGCCUUAGCACCACGUUAAAAUAAACAUAUGACAUCCAACUACAACUAAAAAAUAAAUAUUAAAAAAAAAAAUAGGCUGAGGAUGUGGCUCAGUGGGUCUAGUGCCCUGAGUUCAAUCCCCAGUACCCACCCCCACCCCACCUCCCAAAAAAAGAUUGAGGAAAAGGGUCCCUGAUCAGUACAAAUUCUCAGUUUAGAAGGGAAGAAAGCUGUGUAAAUAGAAAUUUACAUUUCAGUGUUGAUAAAUAUGAUAUUCGCUUAAAAAGAAAAGUAAUGAUAAAGGGGAAUGUAGUUGGGGAGGUGCCUCUGGAGUUGAGUGCAUCUCAAAGGCAGAUGAAGAAGCACUGUGCAGAAGCCCAGAGAUGGAGUUGCUUAGUGCCUGCAGGAGUCCCCAAAAUAGAAAAUAAAUGUUGGAGCGCCCUGGAAAAACCAGACUGGACUUCUGGACAUUUUAGUUUGGCCGAGGGUUAGAUAUCAGCUUGCUGGGAGCAAUAGGGAUAUAGCUCAGUUAGCAGAGCAUUUGCCUCGCAUUCACAAGGGCCUGGAUUCAAUCCCCAGCAAAACGAUCGUGCACGCGCACACACACACACACAAAAGAUACAGAGACCUAUGAAAAAGAAUUGCAUAUCCAGGAAUAAACCCAUUCAUUUAUGGCUUAGCACAAGGUGCCACAUCAUUCAAUCUAAGAGUAUGAAUCUCUUAACAAAUAGCACUUAAAGGUCAAAAUUGUUAAAAUGGAAAAGUUUGUGUUAUUCAUAUUUUUUCACAGUAGAAAUUAUGAAAAAAGAUAAUUGUCUAAUA
rnacentral:lncRNA from 1 species